CCUACGGGAGGCAGCAGUAGGGAAUCUUCCACAAUGGGCGAAAGCCUGAUGGAGCAACGCCGCGUGAGUGAGGAAGGUACAGAGUAUCGUAAACCUCUUUUGUCAGGGAACAAAGACUGGGACGCGUCCCCGGAUGAGUGUACCUGAAGAAAAAGCAUCGGCUAACUCCGUGCCAGCAGCCGCGGUAAUACGGAGGAUGCGAGCGUUAUCCGGAUUUAUUGGGUUUAAAGGGUGCGCAGGCGGUCUGUUAAGUCAGCGGUCAAAGCCCGGGGCUCAACCCCGGCCCGCCGUUGAAACUGGCAGUCUCGAGUUGGAGAGAAGUAUGCGGAAUGCGCGGUGUAGCGGUGAAAUGCAUAGAUAUCGCGCAGAACUCCGAUUGCGAAGGCAGCAUGCCGGCUCCACACUGACGCUGAGGCACGAAAGCGUGGGUAUCGAACAGGAUUAGAUACCCGAGUAGUC
rnacentral:rRNA from 1 species